rnacentral:rRNA from 1 species
AUUGAACGCUGGCGGCAUGCUUUACACAUGCAAGUCGAACGGUAACAGGUUAAGCUGACGAGUGGCGAACGGGUGAGUAAUGCAUCGGAACGUGCCCAGUCGUGGGGGAUAACGCAGCGAAAGCUGCGCUAAUACCGCAUACGAUCUAUGGAUGAAAGCGGGGGACCGUAAGGCCUCGCGCGAUUGGAGCGGCCGAUGUCAGAUUAGGUAGUUGGUGGGGUAAAGGCUCACCAAGCCGACGAUCUGUAGCUGGUCUGAGAGGACGACCAGCCACACUGGGACUGAGACACGGCCCAGACUCCUACGGGAGGCAGCAGUGGGGAAUUUUGGACAAUGGGCGCAAGCCUGAUCCAGCAAUGCCGCGUGCAGGAAGAAGGCCUUCGGGUUGUAAACUGCUUUUGUACGGAACGAAAAGGCUCUGGUUAAUACCCGGGGCUCAUGACGGUACCGUAAGAAUAAGCACCGGCUAACUACGUGCCAGCAGCCGCGGUAAAAC